ensembl:snoRNA U3 Small nucleolar RNA U3
AAGACUAUAUUUUCAGGGAUCAUUUCUAUAGUUUUUAACUAGAAAAUGUGUUUCCAAAGUGUUGUGUCUCCUAAACUGUGAUGAAGAGUAUUGAUACUCUUUUCUGAGAGUGAAUUGGGUGUAGAGUAAUGAUUUAGAUCAUAUACUUUACAUUAUUGAUGAAUGUUUUUUACUGUUGUUUUGCAGUUAUGAGAAAGAGAGUAUGAUCAGAGUGGU